UACGAAGGGGGCUAGCGUUGCUCGGAAUUACUGGGCGUAAAGCGCACGUAGGCGGAUUGUUAAGUCGGGGGUGAAAUCCUGGAGCUCAACUCCAGAACUGCCUUCGAUACUGAGAGUCUCGAGUCCGGGAGAGGUGAGUGGAACUGCGAGUGUAGAGGUGAAAAUUCGUAGAUUAUUCGCAAGAACACCAGUGGCGAAGGC
rnacentral:rRNA from 1 species